UGGGGUGUGGUGUAAUCGGUAGCACAACGGAUUCUGGUUCCGUUAGUUGGGGUUCGAGUCCCUGCACCCUAG
rnacentral:tRNA from 1 species